rnacentral:rRNA from 1 species
GUAGUCCUAGCCCUAAACGAUCAGGACUUGGGGUGCCACCCGUUCGGGUGGCGUCCCGGAGCUAACGCGUUAAGUCCUGCACCUGGGGAGUACGGUCGCAAGACUGAAACUCAAAGGAAUUGACGGGGGCCCGCACAAGCGGUGGAACAUGUGGUUCAAUUCGACGCUACGCGAGGAACCUUACCUGGGCUCGAAAUGCUAGUGACCAGCUUUAGAAAUAUCGCCUUCCCGCAAGGGACACUAGUAUAGGCGCUGCAUGGCUGUCGUCAGCUCGUGCCGUGAGGUGUUGGGUUAAG